GGAUCCUAACCCUUUAUCUGAUAUGUCGUUUGCAAAUAUCUUCUCCCAUUCUGUUAGUGGUUUUAUCUUUUUGCUAAUUAAACAGCUUUGCUGUGCAGAAGCUUUUUAUCUUGAUGAAGUCCCAAUAGUUCAUUUUUGCUUUUGUUUCCCUUGCCUCCGGAGACAUGUUGAGUAAGAAGUUGCUGUGGCCAAGAUCAAAGAGGUUGUUGCCUGUUUUCUCCUCUAGGAUUUUGUUGGCUUCCUGUCUUACAUUUAG